rnacentral:rRNA from 1 species
UACGUAGGGGCCUAGCGUUGUCCGGAUUUAUUGGGCGUAAAGAGCGUGUAGGCGGCCUUGCAGGUCAGCUGUGAAAACUCGAGGCUCAACCUCGAGACGUCGGUUGAAACCGUAAGGCUAGAGUCCGGAAGAGGAGAGUGGAAUUCCCGGUGUAGCGGUGAAAUGCGCAGAUAUCGGGAAGAACACCCGUGGCUAAGGCGGCUCUCUAGUACGGUACUGACGCUGAGACGCGAAAGCGUGGGGAGCGAACAGG